GUCAUUGGAUAUGGGUUGCCCUUGGGAGGAAGAGUAAUGUUGGGGGCAAAGCAGUUUUUUGUUUUGUUUGUUUUUUUGUUCCAGUUGAGACCUAUCUGAAGAGGGUUGACAGCUAAGGUCUAUUUUCUGGCCGCAAAUAUGGGUUCUAAUCCUAGAGGAACCCAAAAGUUUGGAUGCCACACUGUCGUGAGAGCCACCAAGGACUUGGAGAGAGACACAUUGGUUCCCCAAGAGUGGGCGGGCUGCCCCACGAGAAAAGACACCAGAAACGGAUUCAUCUGGGCCUAUGGAAACAAAGUACCUAUACCCUGAAGUGAACAGAAUUAAAA